GAUGAAGAACGUAGCGAAAUGCGAUACUUGGUGUGAAUUGCAGAAUCCCGUGAACCAUCGAGUCUUUGAACGCAAGUUGCGCCCGAAGCCAUUAGGCCGAGGGCACGCCUGCCUGGGCGUCACACGUCGUUGCCCCCCCAUCUACUCCUUCGGGAUUGCGGGGGGCGGAUGAUGGCCUCUCGUGCGCCUCGUCGCGCGGUUGGCCUAAAUGCCAAGUCCUCGGCGCCGCACGCCACGACAAUCGGUGGUUGCGAAACCUCGGUUGCCUGUCGUGUGCGGUCGUCGCGCAUCGAGGGCUCGAAAAAAUUGCCGGGCUUCGGCUCGACUUUCAACGCGACCCCAGGUCAGGCGGGGUUACCCGCUGAAUUUAAGCAUAUCAAUAAGCGGAGGA
rnacentral:misc_RNA from 1 species